rfam:Ananas comosus cultivar MD2 ACMD2_Scaffold_3867, whole genome shotgun sequence.
AUGCUACUGCGAUGUUGGUUCGACUCACUCAGGACGUGCUACUGAUCUAAUGAGAGCGGUGUUCUGAUUGAGUCGUGCCAAUAUCUUAGUAUUCUUU